GGAUUUUCCAGGCAAGAGUACUGGAGUGGGUCGCCAUUGCCUUCUCCCAUUCACUUUCCUAACCCACUUUAAUCAGGGGUCUGUCUCUGCUAUACGUGUACAGACUGAAAUUAGGAUCAUGCUUAGGUAAUCCAGGAAAAGAGAAUAAGAUGAGAAAAGCAGUGGGCUACCAACAUUUAACGGGAUGUGAUAAUGUCUACCUGAUAAGAUUCUUAUGUGGAUUAAAUUAAGUAUGUAAACCAACACUUACAGGGUCCAGCGCAGAAUAUCAACCACUAGCUUUCCUCCCCUUUACCCAUGUUACCUUCACCUGAGUAAUUUGCCUGUGGUCAUGUAGCUGAUAAGUGAGUAUAGAUGCAAACUCAUGUCUUCUUGGCCCAAAAGGAUAUUUCCAUCUUUCCACGACUCCAGACUUCCUUCCCAGGGCUUUAGUCCCCAGUUUGGUUCCUCUCUGCAAACUCCUGGAGCGGAGCCUUUUGCUGAAAGACGGUUGGACACUCUUCAACUGUUUCAACCAAAAUGUCAGAGGCUUCAUCAGGAUGCAUUAUAUUUCCUUGGCUUACACUUAUCUCCUUGUUUCAGUACAAUGUCUGCUAAAAUCACAAAAGGAGAAUCAGCCAAAGUAUGUGUAUUUGAUCUUCAUGGGAAUUUGGGGGGCACAAGUUUAAGAACGGAGAGUUAAGACAAAUUAUUCAGGAAGGACACAUGUGUGUUAGUCGCUUAGUCGUGUCUGACUCUUUACCACCCCGUGGACUGCAGCUCUCCAGGCUCCUCUGUCCGUGGAAUUCUCUAGGCAAGAAUAGCGGAGUGGGUUGCCAUUCUGUUCUCCAGGGGCCCUUCCCAGCCCAGGGAUCGAACCCUGGUCUCCUGCAUUACAGGCACAAGAAUGGACAGUUAAGGCAAAUUAUUCAUGAAGUCACAUGCCACGUGCUUUUUUCCUUUUGGGAUGUACUUGUCAUCAUCAUUUCCAUGGAGGGUAUUUGUUUGCAGACCUGUCCUUUCACCUCAGAAUUAAGAUAGUGUUUCAUUUUAAACUGAGUCAUCUUUGUCCUAAAUAUUGCAUAGUCACACAGGCCUGCCACCUCCUGUUUCCUUAGGCCAAACAGGAUGACAAAGCAAAGUAGGCGACCGUCCCCAAGUCUCUUUGUACUCACUGCCAUUGUGUGUGGUGCUCAGAUGUGUUUGUUAUAUUGCAAGGAAUUACCAUAGUGAGUGAUUUGCACAAAAUUCUACCCAAGAAAUUCUAAAACAAAGAGCUUGCAAAUGGAGUGCCUGCUCUAGCUAUGAAAAAUGUGUUCCAAAAGCACAGAAGGAACAUGUGCAACUUGAAACUUUUCAUCAGAAAUUGAGAGAACUCAAGGUCAGUUUAAUAUUAAUUCUCUCCCAGCUCUUUCAUCUAAGAGAUAUCAACUUGCAUUUGAAUCUGGUAAAGAGAUAUGAAUAUAGGGCAGUUUAGCCUUCAAAGGACAAAUUUCUUGAGAAAUAUCCUGUAUGCAUCUAUUUAGUUUUGAGUAUCAUUAGGUUAUUGUAAAGUGAAAAUGACCAAAGCUUGCCUUUUUCAUAGAAAGGGAAAUUUGUUUCUGGUAAGUCGAAAUUGCUUUUGAAUAAUUUAUAGGGAACAGAGAAUUCAUCAGGCCUGAUAUCAGCAGCCAUGAGAUUGCCUUAUUCUAUAAUGGGUGUGAUGGGAGCUAGAAAGCUGGAGUUGGUUAGCAUGAGAAUUCCUAUCUGGAACUUCAUACAGGUUAAAGGCAGGCAACAUUUAAGAAAUGGAAANNNNNAGUCAAAACUAUGUAAAAAGGAACCUUUGAAAAAAAAGCCUUACUGUGAAUGAUUCUCUCUAGACUCCCCCCCCCACCCCG
rnacentral:lncRNA from 1 species